CAAACCCCGUUGAGAAGCCCAAGAGGCGGCCUUUAGAUCACAGGGCUGAACCACAGGGAGGCAGCAGAAAGGGAAGGGGAUUGUACCAUGUUGAUUUCCAGGAAGGGGGUGUGUGUCAGAUGAUGGAACAGCAUAAGAUUGUACCACAUGUAACCAGGGAAGGGAUCCGGGCUGUACCAUUUUGGAACCACGGCCCAGGAGUGAAUCGUACCGCUGGGAAGCCAGGUGGCUCGGGUUCGGGUUAUGUACAAGUUGCAGAUUACGAGCAUUGAAGAGGGAAAGACAAAUCAUGGACCAGCAACGCUGGUUGACACACACGCAGAAGGGAGAAAGCGAGUGCGAGCUCAGGAGGCUGGACCAAACAGAAACGGCAAAGGGUUCCUGCUCCCGACAAUCACUGAAUCAUUCAGCAUAGUUUGAACAGCAGUGCCUUUGCCACCUCUGUUCUGGUCAAUGUAAGGUGCUCACUAUCGGUGAAUUUAUUUAACUAACAAAUAUUUAUUGAGCUGCCACCAUGUGCCAUGGAUGCCAGGAGGAGAACAAAAGAAGUAGACAAAAACCCUGGACCGCAUGGAACUUGCGUUCUAAGGGAGCAGACGCAAACAAUAAAUAAUGAAUCACAUAA